UCUGCAGUGUUCCCGCAGCUUCCUGCCUCAUGUUUGCUUUCUAUUUUCAUAUCCAUGGGAAAGGAAUCUGCUCUAGCGUGGGGCUGCUAUCCUGCCUGCGCCAGCUGGGGCUGCCACCUUUAGCUUAGGCCACAGAAUGCAUGCCACUGAAGAAACAAUUUAUUUCCUGAAACCACGCCACCUUCAGCAAUUUCAAAUAGCUUUAAAUUAUGUUGCACACUCCACUGAGAUAAGUCAAAUACACGCAUGAGAGCUGCAUGCACUUUGAAAGAUUCGCCUGCCCACUCUGUCAUUUUCUUCCUUCCUUUUUCCAUUCGUCUUUUUGCCGUCUCUGACUGCAGCUGGACAACUGCUCUUCUAGCCUGGAGGCCAAGUUGGAGGACCCUAAACCCAGCCACUUCAUGGCCUGUUGUUACAAAGGGCACAGCAACUGGAAGUAAAACAAAGGUCUUCAAAUUUACAAGAAGUUCUCCAUUUGCUGAGUGCUUUUCUCUAAGGAAAUUACUGCUUUUUCAUCUGCCAUUCAUCUCAUCCAUAUAGGAACAAAGUGGAUUUUCAGACUCUUGGCCCAGAGUUGGAGGCAGAGGAGCCCGUACGUUCAGAUGAAUGGUAAUGAGCAUUGUCAGAGAGGCAGGAAAAUUGAGUCCCUGGCUCUAGCUGCUGGGCUGAGAGCUGCAGGAGCUAAUUGUGUCAAUGGUAAUGAGACCAAGCAGGCAGCAGAUGCUCACGUGCCUUUACAAUCCAAAUCCCACCAACAAAUUCCUCCCACAGAAACUUUGAGGGACGUCUUGGCACCCUGGAGAUGGUGAUAGACCCAGUCCCAGCCACAUGCCACCUGCUAGAGCUAUUGUUUAAAAGAGAAGGAGAAAAAAAAAAGCCUAUUAUGAUAACAAAGUUGUUUGCUGUCUCUUGCAAUGACUUUAUGGCACCGGUUUUACCAUACUGCAGCUAUUGAAAAAAAAAAAAAAAAAAAAAAGAAAGAGGAACAUCUGAUUCUUUAAAGAGAAACAUUUGUAUUGAGACUGUUAACAACUUACUUGGGAAGCCGGAUGUUCAGUAUAUCUUUCAUAUUCUGCUGAUAAACCAUGCCUGCCUUUUUCCCAUUACAGCUCCCACUGUGCAGGCUUCCUACAGCAGGUUUACAUUUCCACAUGUUUUCCCAUGACAUUGAAUCAGGCAAGCAUUUUUUUCCUUUUUUUUUUUUUUUUCUCAGAAAAAUCAAGAAUGAAAAAUGCAGAUACCCAUGUGUAGUGCUGUAUAAAUAUUUAUUGUGAAAUAAAAUAAACAACAUAUUUGGUACUGAUUCACAGAGCAGGCUGGGUGGUGAACUGUGCCUGACGUUUUGUAGGGAGGAAGGCCGUUAGCACCCAGGUUCCCUGACUGGCCAUUAUUUGUAAUGCAAGCUUUCUAAAUGCUGCAGCAGGGAAAAGUUCAGAUUCU